GAGGGUAUAGCUCAUAGUGGUAGAGUGCACGCUUAGCAUGCAUGAGGUCCUGGAUUCAAACCCCAGUACCUCCU
rfam:Camelus ferus unplaced genomic scaffold scaffold126, whole genome shotgun sequence.